GAAAGGGACGGCUAACUACGUGCCAGCAGCCGCGGUAAUACGUAGGUCCCGAGCGUUGUCCGGAUUUAUUGGGCGUAAAGCGAGCGCAGGCGGUUUGAUAAGUCUGAAGUUAAAGGCUGUGGCUCAACCAUAGUUCGCUUUGGAAACUGUCAAACUUGAGUGCAGAAGGGGAGAGUGGAAUUCCAUGUGUAGCGGUGAAAUGCGUAGAUAUAUGGAGGAACACCGGUGGCGAAAGCGGCUCUCUGGUCUGUAACUGACGCUGAGGCUCGAAAGCGUGGGGAGCGAACAGGAUUAGAUACCCUGGUAGUCCACGCCGUAAACGAUGAGUGCUAGGUGUUGGAUCCUUUCCGGGAUUCAGUGCCGCAGCUAACGCAUUAAGCACUCCACCUGGGGAGUACGACCGCAAGGUUGAAACUCAAAGGAAUUGACGGGGCCCGCACAAGCAGUGGAGUAUGUGGUUUAAUUCGAAGCAACGCGAAGAACCUUACCAGGUCUUGACAUCCCGAUGCUAUUUCUAGAGAUAGAAAGUUACU
rnacentral:rRNA from 1 species